CCCUUAGAUGUUCUGGGCCGCACGCGCGCUACACUGAUGAAUUCAACGAGUAACAACCUUGGCUGAAGAGCCCGGGUAAUCUUGUAAACGUUCAUCGUGAUGGGGAUAGAUCCUUGUAAUUAUUGAUCUUCAACGAGGAAUUCCUAGUAAACGCAAGUCAUCAGCUUGCAUUGAUUACGUCCCUGCCCUUUGUACACACCGCCCGUCGCACCUACCGAUUGAAUGGUGCGGUGAAAUCUCUGGACCGCGACAUUGACUUGUUUUCGGACAAGACUUUGUUGUGGGAAGUUGAUUAAACCUUACCAUUUAGAGGAAGGUGAAGUCGUAACA
rnacentral:rRNA from 1 species